UACAGAGGUCUCAAGCGUUGUUCGGAUUCAUUGGGCGUAAAGGGUGCGUAGGUGGCGAGGUUAGUCAGGUGUGAAAUCUCGGGGCUCAACCCCGAAACUGCACUUGAUACUGCCUUGCUAGAGUACUGGAGAGGAGAUUGGAAUUUACGGUGUAGCAGUGAAAUGCGUAGAUAUCGUAAGGAAGACCAGUGGCGAAGGCGAAUCUCUGGACAGUUACUGACACUGAGGCACGAAGGCCAGGGGAGCAAAC
rnacentral:rRNA from 1 species